rnacentral:rRNA from 1 species
CCUACGGGGGGCAGCAGUGAGGAAUAUUGGUCAAUGGACGGAAGUCUGAACCAGCCAAGUAGCGUGCAGGAUGACUGCCCUACGGGUCGUAAACUUCUUUUACACGGGAAUAACACCCUCCACGUGUGGGAGUCUGCAUGUACCAUAUGAAUAAGGGCCGGCUAAUUCCGUGCCAGCAGCCGCGGUAAUACGGAGGGCCCGAGCGUUAUCCGGAUUCAUUGGGCUUAAAGGGAGCGUAGGCGGGGUGUUAAGUCAGCUGUGAAAAUGGGCGGCGCAACCGCAGAAUCGCAGUUGAAACUGGACGUCUUGAGUACAGAAGAGGUAGGCGGAAUUCGUGGUGUAGCGGUGAAAUGCAUAGAUAUCACGAGGAACCCCGAUUGCGAAGGCAGCUCGCUGGGGUGCGACUGACGCUGAGGCUCGAAGGUGUGGGUAUCAAACAGGAUUAGAUACCCUUGUAGUC